rnacentral:rRNA from 1 species
GAGUUUGAUCCUGGCUCAGAUUGAACGCUGGCGGCAGGCCUAACACAUGCAAGUCGAGCGGUAGAGAGAAGCUUGCUUCUCCUGAGAGCGGCGGACGGGUGAGUAAUGCCUAGGAAUCUGCCUGGUAGUGGGGGAUAACGCUCGGAAACGGACGCUAAUACCGCAUACGUCCUACGGGAGAAAGCAGGGGACCUUCGGGCCUUGCGCUAUCAGAUGAGCCUAGGUCGGAUUAGCUAGUUGGUGAGGUAAUGGCUCACCAAGGCGACGAUCCGUAACUGGUCUGAGAGGAUGAUCAGUCACACUGGAACUGAGACACGGUCCAGACUCCUACGGGAGGCAGCAGUGGGGAAUAUUGGACAAUGGGCGAAAGCCUGAUCCAGCCAUGCCGCGUGUGUGAAGAAGGUCUUCGGAUUGUAAAGCACUUUAAGUUGGGAGGAAGGGCAGUAAAUUAAUACUUUGCUGUUUGACGUUACGACAGAAUAAGCACCGGCUAACUCUGUGCCAGCCGCCG